rnacentral:rRNA from 1 species
UACGUAGGGUGCAAGCGUUGUCCGGAAUUAUUGGGCGUAAAGAGCUCGUAGGCGGUUUGUCGCGUCUGCUGUGAAAACUGGAGGCUCAACCUCCAGCCUGCAGUGGGUACGGGCAAACUAGAGUGCGGUAGGGGAGAUUGGAAUUCCUGGUGUAGCGGUGGAAUGCGCAGAUAUCAGGAGGAACACCGAUGGCGAAGGCAGAUCUCUGGGCCGUAACUGACGCUGAGGAGCGAAAGCAUGGGGAGCGAACAGG